UCAGUGCCAACCAGCCUCAGAGCAAACUC
rnacentral:piRNA from 1 species